ACUCUUCCCCAUUUAACGAUGAUACAUUCUCCAUGAUUCUCCAAUCAACUCCUGGAUUUUAUGAUAAUUGGGUAUAUACCGAUUCAAAACCACAACCACCACAAUUGCAAUUACAUUUUCUCAUCUCUUAUCCUUCUCUCUCUAUCUCCAUAUAUAAACAAAGCACAACCCUGAUCCCCUUCCUCAUCACCGCCACCAAAACCACCGUCCUCUCUCAACUUCCCUCCAAUUCCCUUUUGGGUUUUUCAAUUCGGUUCAUUAGGUCUUCAAAUCUAUCAACUUUUCCUCCUAUUAACGCGAAAC
rnacentral:lncRNA from 1 species